ACUUUUCUUAUAAAUUCACGUAGGCCCCUGUGCAUUGCUAAGGCACUAAAUACUAAAAAGUUUGAGGUGGCCCCUUGUAUUUUUAUCCUAUCUUGAAGAGGGGCCCUGGGAUAUGCAGUAGAAAUCUGGUUGGUUUGCAUCUGGGCAAAGUGAGCUGUGGAAAUGGGGUGUGGGGGAUCUCGUUAUGGACCCCAGGGGGGUCAUUUCCCACUGGAGGGCAAGUGAAGUUCAAAAUGGCUGUUUUGCUCCUGAACUCGGCAACACCUGUCAGGUAGCCUUCUGCGGCUCCAGGAGUAUAGACUGCUGUAAUACCGCUUUCGGCCACCAGUGGAAACACUGAGCACUUCGUUUCUAAGGCGCCAACGUGAGUGGCACCAGAGUUUGUCUCCAAAGUUCACCAUGUUCAUGUUCGGCAGCCAACGCCAGAAGUGUGUGUUUUUCCAAGUCCAUGGCAGAUAAUCCAAUGCCAGUGACAGAAGGGGCAUGGUGCUGUUUCCAGCUGAGUAGAUUUAACUGGCGCUUGGACUGGCCUGGGGGGAUCCAGAGGGGAGCAGAGGCCGAGCGUGGUGGGCUGCCGGAAGAAUGGUGCAUCUGAGCGUUGGAGGGUGAAGAAGGAUUGCCUUUCAAGAAUUACGAGCCAUUAAAUCAGAGCCUGGAAAUCUCAAGGUUCCCCAAGACUGCUGCACAAGGAAUCUGGGCUGGAGAAAUAUUGUUUAUGGUUUAAAAGGCCUGCCGAUGGAUUUAUAAAAGAAACAUUCAUCAUUGCAGGAAAACGGAACAAAACAUUCCGGAAAUAAAUACUAAGUCUAUAGGUAUACUUGUCACCCAGACAGCACAAUAACAAGUGAAUUGGGAGGGAGAUCCUUCAUUCUCUGGCAGUUGGCCCCCAAACAUGCUCUUUGUGAGUCUGCGUGUGUGGAAACAGUAGUUUGUCUAAGUGUGUGUAAAUAAAAAAAAACAAUCUUAUUACUUAA